CAGCAGCCGCGGUAAUACAGAGGGUGCGAGCGUUAAUCGGAUUUACUGGGCGUAAAGCGUGCGUAGGCGGCUUUUUAAGUCGGAUGUGAAAUCCCUGAGCUUAACUUAGGAAUUGCAUUCGAUACUGGGAAGCUAGAGUAUGGGAGAGGAUGGUAGAAUUCCAGGUGUAGCGGUGAAAUGCGUAGAGAUCUGGAGGAAUACCGAUGGCGAAGGCAGCCAUCUGGCCUAAUACUGACGCUGAGGAACGAAAGCAUGGGGAGCAAACAGGAUUAGAUACCCCAGUAGUCCCUGUCUCUUAUAC
rnacentral:rRNA from 1 species